rnacentral:rRNA from 1 species
UACGAAGGGGGCUAGCGUUGCUCGGAAUCACUGGGCGUAAAGCGCACGUAGGCGGAUUGCUAAGUCAGGGGUGAAAUCCUGGAGCUCAACUCCAGAACUGCCUUUGAUACUGGCGACCUUGAGUCCGGGAGAGGUGAGUGGAACUGCGAGUGUAGAGGUGAAAUUCGUAGAUAUUCGCAAGAACACCAGUGGCGAAGGCGGCUCACUGGCCCGGUACUGACGCUGAGGUGGCGAAAGCGUGGGGAGCAAACACGG